rnacentral:rRNA from 1 species
AAUCCUACGGGGCGCAGCAGUGGGGAAUAUUGCACAAUGGGGGAAAUCCUGAUGCAGCGACGCCGGGUGAGUGAGGAAGUAUUUCGGUAUGUAAAGCUCUAUCAGCAGGGAAGAAAAUGACGGUACCUGACUAAGAAGCCCCGGCUAACUACGUGCCAGCAGCCGCGGUAAUACGUAGGGGGCAAGCGUUAUCCGGAUUUACUGGGUGUAAAGGGAGCGUAGACGGGCUUGCAAGUCUGAUGUGAAAAUCCGGGGCCCAACCCCGGAACUGCAUUGGAAACUGUAUAUCUCGAGUGUCGGAGAGG